ensembl:snoRNA U3 Small nucleolar RNA U3
UUCACUAUACUUUCAGGGAUCAUUUCUAUAGUUCGUAACUAGAGAAGUUUCUCUGACUGUGUAGAGUACCCGAAUCCACGAGGACGAGACAUAGCGUUCCCUUCUGAGCGUGAAGCUGGCUUUUGGUGUUGCUGUUUUCCGCAACUGCCACUUGCCAUUGAUGAUCGUUCUUCUCUUCCCCUGGGAUCCUUGAGCAAUUAAAAAAAAAAAAAAAGAGAGAGUCUUCAUA